rnacentral:tRNA from 1 species
GCUCAGUCAGUUAAGCGUCUGACUCUUGAUUUUGGCUCAGGUCAUGAUCUCAUGGUAUGUGAGUUCAAGCCCCACACUGAGCU